rnacentral:tRNA from 1 species
GGUGCUGUGGCUUAGUUGGUCAAAGUGCCUGUCUAGUAAACAGGAGAUCCUGUGUUCAAAUCCCAACAGUGCCU